UACAGAGGUCUCAAGCGUUGUUCGGAUUCAUUGGGCGUAAAGGGUGCGUAGGCGGCGCGGUAAGUCGGGUGUGAAAUCUUGGAGCUUAACUCCGAAACUGCAUUCGAUACUGCCGUGCUUGAGGACCGGAGAGGAGACUGGAAUUUACGGUGUAGCGGUGAAAUGCGUAGAUAUCGUAAGGAAGACCAGUGGCGAAGGCGGGUCUCUGGACAGUUCCUGACGCUGAGGCACGAAGGUCAGGGGAGCAAACGGG
rnacentral:rRNA from 1 species